AUUAAAAGGACAUUUCGAUUGGGGUAAUGAUUUGUGAAGGGUUGGGGCGGCUACAAAGGUUUUGGGGUUACAACUUGUGUGUGAGUUUUUAUGUGGAUAUUUUAACACGCAAAAAUGGCUUUAAAUUCAAAUUAAAAAUUGCACUUUUUAAUUGAUCAUGCCCAAUUUCAUUCCAGUCAUCUCCCAAAAUCAAUUUGGCAGCGCAAAAAUAAAUAAUUGCACAUUUAUAUUUGUAGAGAAGUAAUGUCUUAUUCUCCAUGGCACAAACAUGUGUUUUACAUUGUGUAUACUCAGAGUCGUACUCGCGUCGUAUCUGAAUAUCUGGCAUAUCCAGACCCCUUCUCGAGUCUAAUUGAUUCUGUUUAGCAAUUGUCUGGGGCCUGAUGUAGCAGCGUCUGCAGUUGAGAGAAAU
rnacentral:lncRNA from 1 species